rnacentral:lncRNA from 1 species
GGAGGCAGGGGCGGAGGCAGAGGCGCACCCGAGUGCAGCGCACCUCGGCGGCCGCGGCGGCCCGGGUCAGUCCUCCCCUGGACCCGUGCUCUCCUCCGGCCUCGGUGGCUGUUCUCUCCUCUUUCCCCGCACUUUGAGUCUCUAACUUGGUGGGACAGGACGCACGUCCUUCUUUUCCGGGUUAGCAGGGGCUCUCCCCGGAGAUCCCGUCACCUCCAGACCGGGCAGGAUCCGAGGCCAGCGCGGUCGCAGUCGCCCCUGCGCCGUCCAGCGUUCACCCGGGACCACGGCCACUGCCCGCGACCAGAGAUGCCCGCGCCCACUGCGCUCCACGGGGCUGGCGCGCUCUGGCUGCUCCCCCGCCCUCUUGGCUUUUUAUAGUUUUCCACAGUGGGUUUUCCUCCGCCCCCAAUCCAAGAGUGACAAAGAGUGAAAACGCUGCGCUACCCCCUGCUCUCGCCCGCCUUCUCCUGUCGCUUCCCCUCCCCACCCUCCCGACCUCCUCCACCCCACAACUGGAGCAAACGUGGGCUUCCCAAUGCCUGCCGCAGCUCCAGGGAGCAGAUGGGCUUUGGAAACAGGCGGAGGGCACAGUUGGGCAUGAUGACCUGACCCCUCUCUGCAGCCCUACCGGCCACUCCGGCCACCCCCGACCGGGGGAAAUAGAAGCCAGGCACCUGUGCGAGCCCCGGUGCGACUGUGGCCUUCACCUCCCAGCCGUGGGCGGCUGGGCCCAUAGGUGUCCGAGGUGCCCAGCGGACCCCGAGGGAGAUGGGGGAGCAGCGCGGGGGGGAAAGAUGGGCACAUUCUCGCUCCCCGGAGCACCGGGUCUUUGUAGUCUCCUCUUCUGCGUCCCCAGCUCUGCCACGCGCGAAGUGUACGCCUGUGUCUGCCAGACUGGGAAGGAGGAACCGGCUGCCCCGCCCUGGGUACCUCGGAGGUUUGGAGCGCACUGCUCCUCUGGACUCCUCUCCGCGCCAGACAGCUGCCCUCUGCAGGAGGAAACCCCGGGCAGGCCUGAGUGGGUUAGGAGGCACAGGAAAUCCAGGCACCGACCCACCACCCGGCGUUACACAGUGACAGCUUGCGGCGAGGAGCUGGCUCCAGCCCUGGAGCCUUUUCCCAUCCCGGUCACAGCCGCAUGCCCAGGAGCGCGAAAGGACAAGGUGAGGGACUCCCUUACUUCCCACCAACACCACCAAGAUCUGCAGAGCGGACUUAGAGUUCGUCCCUGCCUUAUGCCCGGGCCUCAGCCCUGA